CAGAUUAUUUCCCAAAGCUGGUGGAAUUUUUGUGAUUGCUGUAUUUUAAACUACUUACAAACAUACUGUUAAUCUGCUCCAAAAUACACCUGUGUUUCAGGAUCAAGAUAAGUGCAUUUGAAUGCAAAUGUGGUAAUGCAAUGCAAAUUGCUUUAAUGAAAACGAAGCUGCCUCUUUAAAAGCAUUGAUGUUGCCAAAAGAAUACAGAAUAACUUCCCAGAGUACACAGCAUCAGGAGUUUGCUUUCAGAACUAGACACUCACCAAGGAAGGCACAUACAAUGCAUAAAUAAAGUACAGUGAAAAGGGAACAGAAAGGGGAAUAAAGCUGAGAUGAAAGGAAAGAGGAGGAGAGAUUAAAGUGAGAGGGAAAGAGAAUGCUACAAGAAUCAGCAGAAGAUUAAACUUGCAUUUGGUCACAAAAGAAGAAAGAACUACAUUGGUGCAGUCUGGAUACAGCAAUAUAUAUAUACAUUUAAAGAAAAAUGAGGGCGAGAGGGAAUGGUUUUAAGCUGGAAAUGCUUUGGAAUGAAAAUCCCAAGGCCUGUCCUGUCCCAGAUCUGAUCCUAAGUUGAGUGCAAUGGAUGACAUUUCCUUCCAGUGUUCACAGGCAGGAAGAUCCAUCCUUGGGGCGCUGCACGAUGGACUGCGGCUGCACUGGGAACUUGAUCCUCUUUUUAAUCUUGUGACUGAUGAAAUAUAAAUGUGAAGAAAAAGAAGCAACAUCCCCAUCCCCCCAGCCUCCCCAAAUCCAGAAUGGAUCCACUUGACAUGCAGUGAACUGGGGCCCUCAUAGGAAGGGCAGGAGAGAGAACCGGUGUUGCCACUGAUCAGCAACAGGAGUCUGGUAUCACUGCAUCACUGUGUAAAGGAGAAACAGGGAGGGGGAGAAGCAGCCUGGUUUGCUCUAAGGCCUUUGCUGGGGCUCUCGUUCCUGUUCCAUGAAGCACUAAGGCGCAUCAUUUCAGUGAAAAAAAUGCAAAACUUUCCUUUUACUUUAUAGUUUCAAAUCUAGUGAUCAAACUAACAAAAAGAAGUGUAGUAGAGAAAGGGAGGCACACUCUAAUUCAUAAUUCAGAUGUUUUCCUUCUGUUAUUUGGUUUCUAUUCUUCCGAAGCACCACAAGUUAAUAUUCUACAGUAGAGUGACAAAAACAGGGGGCAGCUGUUCAGCCCUGGAGAAAGAAGUCCGCUCACGUGUCUGCAGGGUAUCAAUGGGGACAGUGAUUUACUGAUGCUGGGGUUAUCUCUCUGAGGGAAAGGGCCUUUCUCUGCCAGCUGGGACACAGAGACGAAGGCAGAGAGAGUCACAAGCUGUGUGACAUGGCCGUGCGCGGUGACAUUCUGCUCGGCAGCUACAGGGGGCUGUGCUGCAGGGAAAAAAAAGGCUGGAUUGCAGCAGGGUUGACACAGCAAAAUAGCACACAGGACUGGGACUGCAGUGAGGUGCCCUUUGGCCCCUCACAAGUUGACAUCGGAAGAAGCUGAACUGUCUUUUCACUCUUGCAUAGUGCAGACAGCAGUUAUCCAGUCACUGGAACACUGUGUAAGUAGCAUUAGAGGAGACAAAAUUUUAUUCUGAUGCGCUCAGGUGUCAGGAUGGUGAGCACAGCAGGUAUCUAAAUGUCCUUUCUUUGUAGCUUUUUGUUGUGUGACGUGGGGUGACUCUCUCCAAUGCUGCCCACAGGAGCUCCAGCACUGGUCCUGCCCUUGGUCCCUGGCUCUCCCUCUUUGAGGUCCAUGGCACCUUCCUGAGACUUUUGGCUUUUUGUGCUAAAAGCAUUAGGAGAAGUUACAGCAGUGAGUUUAGGGUUUAGUGGCAGAGUGGAUGCUUAGUUUAUCUUCCUGAACUUAAAAGAUUGAAUACAUGAUUGCUUGUGACUGCCAGGCAUAGACUUGAAGACUCAGACGGUAAUAUUCAGACCUUUAUUCACUGAUCACUAAUUCCUUCCACCGAUCAGUUUUGUGGUCCAUGCCUUCAGUAUCGCUCUGUAUAAAACAGAUAUAAAGUGGCCUGAUGAAGAGGAACAAUCCCAGGGCUCAUGCACUCCAUAGGGCUAAGCAGAAAACCAUGUUCUGUUCUCAAAUGAUUUGUGCGGACAUAAUCAAAUAACUUUCUGCCUCUCUUGCCUCAGUGUGCCCGUCUGUAACCAAAGGCUGUGAGCCAUGGUGCGUGGCUCCAACACGCUGCUGGAUCCCUGGCUGAAAACCUCUGUAACAUUCAGGGAAGUAUAACUGAAACGAUGAAGUUUCUUCUCUAACAAAUGGUCUUUGGGGCCAGGCUGGUAUAAAACAUGUUUGUGUGAGUCUAGUACUAGACUGUCAUUUUAACUUGGAUGGUUUCCAUGGACUGGUGCACUGCAGGUUGAGCAGAGGGCUCUAUGGAGUCCCUGUGGUUAAAGGUCAGUGCUGGUAUCAGCAGAAUUUUAAGUCUUCUCUCAGCUCCUAUAGUGAUGUAUUUUAAGGACAUUUUUUGCUUUUUGUAUGAGCAAAUGUUGCCUGUACGGGAGUAAUGGGCACAUGCAUUCCUGUGUUUUGUGUCUGACCAACCUUCUUAGGUCAGAUGGGAGAAGCAGGACAGGGAGCUGGGAGUGGGGAGCAUCUGCUCCCUGCAUGCAGGAGGGCGGUGAGGUCCCCUCCUCACCCUGUCCCUUCUGUGUUGUCCAUCUGGACAGCAGGACAGGACAGGAGGUUAUCAUAGCUAGCAGAGCUAUCCCUAGGACAAAUAGCGGUGAGCAAAAGGAUCAGAUACAGAUCGUGACAGAUACGUGGACAUUUCAGCUGAACGCUGCUCUGUGCACUACAGUGGUGAUUUGCUUAAAGAUGCCUCAGCAGUGGGUGUGUGAAGAAACCUUAUAGAACCGUCAUCACCAGCAAAAACAAAACUCAGCACCGUAUCCUGUGACCUUGCUGUGUGUCUCUGCCUUCAAGCUGGACUGAUGCUGCUCCCUCAGGUGGAAAGGGAGACAAACCCAAUCCUGGGUGCUGUUGGAGGAGGCUGGGUGCAAUCUUGCUGCUUUUCCGUGCCAGGUUAGUGCCACAGAAUUAUAGAAUCAUAGAACAGUUUAGAUUGGAAGGGACUUUCACAGCUCCCCCAGUCCCCCCUGCCAUGAGCAGGGACAUCUUCACCAGCUCAGGGUGCUCAGAGCCCCGUCCAGCCUGGCCUGGGAUGUCUCCAGGGAUGGUUCAUCCACCACCUCUCUGGCCAACCUGGGCCAGGCUCUCACCACCCUCAGGGGCAACAAUUUCUUCCUCAUGUCCAGCCUGAAUCACUCCUCUUUUAGUUUAAAAUAUCACCUCUUGUCCUGUUGUAACAGGCCCUGCUAAAAAGUCUGUCCCCAUCUUUCUUGUUGUCCCCUUUUAAGUACAAAAAGGUCACAAUAAGGUCUCCCCAGAGCUUCUCUUCUCCAGGUUGAACACCCCAACUCUCCCAGCUUGUUAAAUCAGUCUUAGUGGAUUACACUGGCUUAAUAAAUGCAAUCCCAUUUCCUUCAGCUCCAAGGCUACAGCCCACUUACUGAGAGCAACUUCUGUAGCACGGGAUGCAGACAUCUUGUACUGGCGCUGGGGCUCAUGGACUCAGUCCCCGCCAUCAUUCAUCAUGGGCUUCUCAAACGAGGCGAGGAUGCUCUGCGGGAACAACUGGCAGCCAGAGCAGCAGGGAGGCUCAUGCAGAGAGAUAUUUUGUCUUUGCGUCCUCAACUCGGAGCUUCCCUCUUCUCCCUCGCGUACCAGGAGCAGUGGGUGAGCACUCAGCGCCGUCUUUCCAGUGUCAGUGCCAGGGAGCAGAUGCUGUGGCUGUUGUAGGAUACUGAGCCUGCCUUCAGACCUCUCAGGCCGUUAAUGGCAUUUGCAGCCCCUCUCAUUCAUUCAUUCAUUUUUUUUUUUUUCCCUAAAUGUGAGUAUGUAGAAGUUGAUGAUAAGAGCAAAAAUAGAGCUGGCUGCUCCCAGGAUAUGCUACUCCUUCCAGCACUGAAUUAUCUGUAAAAUGACUGAUGAAGGGAUACAGCUUUUUGCAAGGAGUUUGCCUUCAAAUGCUGAUUACUGGACAGCAAAAUUGCACAUAUUUCUAUAGCCAUCUUUUCAGGCCCUAGAACUGUUUCCCUGUCUGGAAAACCUGGGAGUGUGGACCAUGGCGAUGUGGAGUGAGAAGUGCAGCAGGUUGGUGAGGACAAGGACAAGAGCUGCAGGUCUCCUCCUGCCCUGGCCAGCGGCUCGAGCCACCAGCAUGUCCCACUUGGUGCCUGUGCUGUGGAAACUGAAAGCUGUGAUUAUAGCUCAAGAAAACAAUAUACCUCCAGAACUUUCUGGCUGCUGGGAAGAGUUAUUGCUGCACCUCCUGACUGUCUAGCAAUACCCAGCUCACUUCAUUAUUUACUUUGCCGUACUGAAGCAGAACAGGGUAUCCAUUGUCAUUUUGUUCCCUUUCAGGGUCCAUCAGCUGUGAAAAUUUCCUCUGCUGCUUUGACAUUUGCUUUACUGUAUAAACAGAGACAUUCAGGUUUCUGUCUUUACUCCCUAUGUCAUUCAAACCCGCAGAGCUCAGGAAGGAACGGGAAGAGAAAACUUGCGUCUGAUGCUGAGGAACUGCUGGGAAAAGUCAUCUGCUCUCCCCCUGACUGCUUGAUGUGCUGCGGAAAGAGGAUGGAUUUUACCAGACUUAUUUGUGCUGUGUAGCCUGUCUGAAAUUUAGUCUGUUACUGUCUUAGGUUUAUAAACAGAGUUGGUGCUGAUUAUUGGUGAAAUCUGGCUAUAGGGCAGAGCGUGAAGACCUACCUAUAGACAACAAUGUAUAAAAGUGUGGAAGUGGAAGAAGGAAGACCCAGGGAGGCAGAGAGAAGCUAUAAAGGAGCCAAAGGAGCUGCAGCAGGAGCUGAAAAGCUGCAGGUAGAAAGGCCCCAGCAGAGAAGUGCAGCAAGCAGCUGUAAAUCCAGCUGUCACCACACCUCUGGGUUUGGAUCCACAUGUUGGUCCCUAUGUUUCCAAACUGGUGGUGGUAUUUCUCAAAACGUAUCAGACUUGGGGCUCCUUAGGGAAAACAGCACAUGUGGGUUUUUCCCUGUCUUUGGGUUCAGCCAGGAUUUUAGGUAGAUUGCCCCUUUUUACCUUUGUAUAGUGUAAUCUGUUGUUGUUGUUUCUCUUUGGUAGCAGUUCAUCUCUUAGAAAAACUGGAGCAAAUACGAUACUUGAUUUCCCCUGUCAUAUGGUGAAUUCCUCUGCUUCAUAUGUUGGUUGGGUAGCUGAUGAAGAACACCAGGAGGAAAAAAAGCAAUUUAAUCCAGCACAGGCACUCACAGCUGGUAUCACAGCUAUGUAUUCAAAGUGAUGGUUACAAUACUGCUGGAAAGACAUAACAUUUACUGUUUCCAAUCAUGUUAAGCUCUUCCCAGUUAAAGCCACACUGUUCUUCAUCUUCAGAGUUAAACCCCCAGAUCUGUGCUUCGAGUAACCCUGUGCCCUCAGUCUCUGUGCGUGCGGGUAAACCCAGCAAGGAGCAUGAGAACUGCAGCGAGUAUGGGGAGAAAAUGUAUUUGCGUGGAUUCAUGCGAGGCUUGUCUGCUUCAAAUAUACCUGUUCUCGGGUAAUUACCAGCUGCUUUUGAAUCUUUCCAGAUUCCCUGAUUCUGCCACCCACUCUUAACAUGGACAACAGGAUUUCUCAGUCUCGGCUGUGCUCAGAUCCCCCUUCUCAUGUUGUCAAAUGACUACUCCAGAAGUGAAAAAGAUACGAAAGCUCUGCAGCAUAUUAAGUGGUUGUUAGUGAAUAACUCCAAGUUAGACUGUGUUGGUAGGCAAAUGAGGGAAAUUUAACACUUUACAGGUUGCCAUUAAAAAAAGGGUGGUGGCCUCAAGUUGUGCCAGAGGAGGCUUAGAUUGGAUAUUAGGAAAAAAUUCUUCAUGGAAACGGUUGUCAGGCAUUGGAACAGGCUGCCCAGGGCAGUGGUGGAGUCACCAUCCCUUAAGGGGUGUAAAAGGUGUUUAGACGAGGUUCUUAGGGACAUGGUUUAGUGCUAGAGUUAGGUUAGGUUAUGGUUGGACUCAAUGAUUCUGAGGGUCUCUUCCAGCUGAAAUGAUUCUAUGAUUCUACAAUGAAGUACAAAUACUUAAAAAAAAAAGCAUUGCAAUCUUGUAAUCCAUCACUCCUUCUCCCUGACAGAUUUGGGGUAUUUCUCAAAGGCUCUUGGUUCCUUCCACACCUCCUGACCCCUCUGCUCUCCCUUCCCCUCUCUCCCAUCAGCAAUUCUCAGCUCAGCGACCUGAGUCGGUUAACAGUGCCAGUUAAGAAACAAGGGGGUAUCAUAAAACACCAAGUAACUUUGCAAGAACACAAGUGAUAUUUUGCAGUUUUUGGUGAAUUGCCUUGGACAUGCUUUUGGUAGGUUUGCAGCAUGCAGGAUCUCUGCUGAAUCACAGAAGACCUGGCCCUUUAGUGCCCCCACCAUCAGAAAAUGCCCAUAGCCACGGGGGGCUCUGCCCGGGGCUGUGUGUGUAUUCAGCUUGAUAAAGCCAAGCAGGACCCUGCAGCCGUUUGUCAGUGGAGCAGAGCUGGGCAGUGGCCUUGUGGCUACAAGGUUAAAUAAAGCAGGCCCUGAAAUGCGUGUGUGAGAAAUGGGAUGGCUGCCAUGGAGGUAAAUCAACGGCGAUAACGGCGGCAGUGAGAAAUACCGCUGCCUGCUCCCUUCCCGGAGUCCUGCGAGUUCCCAAGUCGCCUUGAACAAAGGGUUGGUAACAAAUGGCAGAACGGGCUCUUGGUUCUGAAAAACUUAAUUUUGACUAAUCAGCCACAAAGGUGAAACUGGAAAGUGAUUUUCCUUUCCUGCAAUGACCAAACUCCAGUGAAACCACUCUGUUAAGAGUAUUUGCAGUCUCUUGUUUUUCCCCUAGUCCUCCACUUUAACUGCAUGGCUGUGUAGUUAUUAGGAUUGCUCAGCGCUGGGGAGCUUUUCAGCCAGAUAGACCUCAGGAUGUUCCAGUGGAGCCUGAUGUGGCUGACAUGCCACCAACUGUGCCGGGUUUGCCAUGUCCCAGCACCAGCAGUUGUACCUUCCGUGGGGAGUGCGAGGUGGAUUGGAGAAAAUGUUUAAAUACUUGUGAAUAACAAACUAAUCUGAGAGUUUGGUGAUCUGUUCAUAGACAAUUUAUAGGUGGUGAAAGGUGAAACUGUUUGAUCUGUUUAUAGUAAAUGACUCAGCUUUUUUCUUCUCAAACUCUGGUCAACAAGAAAAGCAAGAACUCCCCGUACAAGUACCAGCUACUGGGUCUGACAUUGUCAAGGCUGAGAUAUUGAUCUUCUGCUCCUGGCAUUUGAUGAGUCCCAGCUCCAGGGGGUAUCACUAGGCUGCAGAUCCCUAGGGCUACAGACAGCUCUGGUUUCUACCAUCCCACAGGAAAGGUUGGGCAGCACCAGGUUGUUGCACAAAGCCCAGGGAAGGGAGGUUGCUAACCCCCAGGUUAGUGCUAGAAUUAGUUUAGGUUAUGGUUGGACUCAAUGAUCCUGAGGGUCUCUUCCAGCUGAAAUGAUUCUGUGAUUCUAGGUUUUCUGCUUCAGCUU